AUUGAACGCUGGCGGCAGGCUUAACACAUGCAAGUCGAGCGGGGAAAGGUAGCUUGCUACCUAACCUAGCGGCGGACGGGUGAGUAAUGCUUAGGAAUCUGCCUAUUAGUGGGGGACAACAUUCCGAAAGGAAUGCUAAUACCGCAUACGCCCUACGGGGGAAAGCAGGGGAUCUUCGGACCUUGCGCUAAUAGAUGAGCCUAAGUCAGAUUAGCUAGUUGGUGGGGUAAAGGCCUACCAAGGCGACGAUCUGUAGCGGGUCUGAGAGGAUGAUCCGCCACACUGGGACUGAGACACGGCCCAGACUCCUACGGGAGGCAGCAGUGGGGAAUAUUGGACAAUGGGCGCAAGCCUGAUCCAGCCAUGCCGCGUGUGUGAAGAAGGCCUUUUGGUUGUAAAGCACUUUAAGCGAGGAGGAGGCUACUGAGAUUAAUACUCUUGGAUAGUGGACGUUACUCGCAGAAUAAGCACCGGCUAACUCUGUGCCAGCAGCCGCGGUAAUACAGAGGGUGCGAGCGUUAAUCGGAUUUACUGGGCGUAAAGCGUGCGUAGGCGGCUUUUUAAGUCGGAUGUGAAAUCCCUGAGCUUAACUUAGGAAUUGCAUUCGAUACUGGGAAGCUAGAGUAUGGGAGAGGAUGGUAGAAUUCCAGGUGUAGCGGUGAAAUGCGUAGAGAUCUGGAGGAAUACCGAUGGCGAAGGCAGCCAUCUGGCCUAAUACUGACGCUGAGGUACGAAAGCAUGGGGAGCAAACAGGAUUAGAUACCCUGGUAGUCCAUGCCGUAAACGAUGUCUACUAGCCGUUGGGGCCUUUGAGGCUUUAGUGGCGCAGCUAACGCGAUAAGUAGACCGCCUGGGGAGUACGGUCGCAAGACUAAAACUCAAAUGAAUUGACGGGGGCCCGCACAAGCGGUGGAGCAUGUGGUUUAAUUCGAUGCAACGCGAAGAACCUUACCUGGUCUUGACAUAGUAAGAACUUUCCAGAGAUGGAUUGGUGCCUUCGGGAACUUACAUACAGGUGCUGCAUGGCUGUCGUCAGCUCGUGUCGUGAGGUGUUGGGUUAAGUCCCGCAACGAGCGCAACCCUUUUCCUUAUUUGCCAGCGGGUUAAGCCGGGAACUUUAAGGAUACUGCCAGUGACAAACUGGAGGAAGGCGGGGACGACGUCAAGUCAUCAUGGCCCUUACGACCAGGGCUACACACGUGCUACAACGGUCGGUACAAAGGGUUGCUACCUAGCGAUAGGAUGCUAAUCUCAAAAAGCCGAUCGUAGUCCGGAUUGGAGUCUGCAACUCGACUCCAUGAAGUCGGAAUCGCUAGUAAUCGCGGAUCAGAAUGCCGCGGUGAAUACGUUCCCGGGCCU
rnacentral:rRNA from 1 species